rnacentral:rRNA from 1 species
AUGAAGAACGCAGCGAAAUGCGAUACUUGGUGUGAAUUGCAGAAUCCCGUGAACCAUCGAGUCUUUGAACGCAAGUUGCGCCCCAAGCCUUAGGGCCGAGGGCACGUCUGCCUGGGUGUCACGCAUCGUAGCCC